rnacentral:rRNA from 1 species
AGAGCGAACGCUGGCGGCAGGCCUAAUACAUGCAAGUCGAACGGAUCCUUCGGGAUUAGUGGCGGACGGGUGAGUAACGCGUGGGAACGUGCCCUUUGGUUCGGAACAACUCAGGGAAACUUGAGCUAAUACCGAAUGUGCCCUUCGGGGGAAAGAUUUAUCGCCAUUGGAGCGGCCCGCGUCUGAUUAGCUAGUUGGUGGGGUAAAGGCCCACCAAGGCUACGAUCAGUAGCUGGUCUGAGAGGAUGAUCAGCCACACUGGGACUGAGACACGGCCCAGACUCCUACGGGAGGCAGCAGUGGGGAAUAUUGGACAAUGGGCGCAAGCCUGAUCCAGCAAUGCCGCGUGGGUGAAGAAGGUCUUCGGAUUGUAAAGCCCUUUCGGCGGGGACGAGUGAUGACGGUACCCGCAGAAGAAGCCCGGCUAACUUCGUGCCAGCAGCCGC